rnacentral:rRNA from 1 species
CAGCAGUAGCCACGGGAAUACGAAGGGUGCAAGCGUUAAUCGGAAUUACUGGGCGUAAAGCGCACGCAGGCGGUCUGACAAGUCAGAUGUGAAAUCCCCGGGCUUAACCUGGGAACUGCAUUUGAAACUGUCAGGCUGGAGUCUUGUAGAGGGGGGUAGAAUUCCAGGUGUAGCGGUGAAAUGCGUAGAGAUCUGGAGGAAUACCGGUGGCGAAGGCGGCCCCCUGGACAAAGACUGACGCUCAGGUGCGAAAGCGUGGGGAGCAAACAGGAUUAGAUACCCGCGUAGUCCCUGUCUCUUAUAC